CCAGAACGCACAGCUGUUUCAGCGGAUUUAUUUUCCGAGAGUUUCCCACCGGCGGCCGGUAACAGAAACAGAGCUCAGGUGAUCAGGAAAUAUCGUGUUCAUCCGGCCAUGGCCCGGCGAAUUUCACCUGUUGUCGCGUUCCUGCUUUGUUUUGGAUUGUCGCAUUUCUUUGAGGCUGAAGCCAGAUUGCAGCACUCUGUGGCCCUCCACAGGCAGAAGAGAGAAUGGAUCGUCCCUCCACAGAUCCUAGAGGAAAACGUAGAUUACACCAAGAAAGACUUCAUUGCAAAA
ensembl:processed_transcript dsg2.1 desmoglein 2, tandem duplicate 1